rnacentral:rRNA from 1 species
GGGAGUAAUACAUCGGAACGUGUCUUCUAGUGGGGGAAACUAGCCCGAAAGGGCAGCUAAUACCGCAUGAGACCUGAGGGUGAAAGCGGGGGAGUCGCAAGACCUCGCGCUGGAAGAGCGGCCGAUGUCCGAUUAGCUAGUUGGUGAGGUAAAGGCUCACCAAGGCGACGAUCGGUAGCUGGUCUGAGAGGACGACCAGCCACACUGGGACUGAGACACGGCCCAG